rnacentral:rRNA from 1 species
UACAUGCAGUCGAACGAAGACCCUUGUACUCGUACGAGGAAUUCUUAGUGGCGAACGCCUUAUUAUCGCGUUGGUGACCUGCCCCGAAGUGGGGGACAACCCUCCGAAAGGACUGCUAAUACCCCAUGUGGCCGUGAUAAUUAGAAAGUCACGACUAAAGGAGUAAUCCGCUUCGGGAGGGGCCUGCGUCCCAUCAGCUAGUUGGUAAGGUAAUGGCUUACCAAGGCUACGACGGGUAGGGGACCUGAGAGGGUGGCCCCCCACACUGGUACUGAAACACGGACCAGACACCUACGGGUGGCAGCAGUAGGGAAUAUUGCACAAUGGGCGAAAGCCUGAUGCAGCAACACCGCGUGUGUGAUGAAGGCCUUCGGGUCGUAAAGCACUUUUAUGAGGGAAGAGGAAGGACGGUACCUCAUGAAUAAGGAUCGGCUAACUACGUGCCAGCAGCCGCGGUAACACGUAGGAUCCAAGCGUUAUCCGGAUUUACUGGGCGUAAAGCGCGUGUAGGCGGCUUAGUAAGUUGGAUGUGAAAGCUCCCGGCCCAACCGGGAGACGUCGUUCAAUACUGCUAGGCUUGAGGACGAUAGAGGAAGGUGGAAUUCCGGGUGUAGUGGUGAAAUGCGUAGAUAUCCGGAGGAACACCAGUGGCGAAGGCGGCCUUCUGGGUCGUUCCUGACGCUCAGACGCGAAAGCUAGGGUAGCGAACGGGAUUAGAAACCCCGGUAGUCCUAGCCGUAAACGAUGUCAACUUGGUGUUGGUGGUGUAAAAACCAUCAGUGCCGUAGCUAACGCGAUAAGUUGACCGCCUGGGGACUACGACCGCAAGGUUAAAACUCAAAG